ACACUCACGGCCACAUGAUUAGUAGAGUCAUCCUGGUAUGACUCUGUCUCUUGGGUUGGAAAGGACAAGUGGAACUUGUGAAGCCUGAGAAUGAAGUCGCAAGCUUGAUCUUUUCUCCAUUAAUUUUUUAUUUUUCUUCCUGCUUGGUUCUCCUCACUCACUCCAUGCGGCUUUGUGUUUUCCAGCGGGACCACACAUUGCCAUUUGGUGAUGGCCUUCCAUUUCGAACACUGUUCUGAGUCCAUGUCAUUUUUACUUGAUGUUCCACUCACAUCUCAACUCUGCAAAGGGCAGGCUGGUUACUCCUCUGGUGAGUUAUGGGCAGAUCCAAGAGGAGGAGAAACGGUGGGACACUGAGAGAGGGCCGAACCACGUGCUCCUCACGACAAACGCAAAGGGGCUUGAUAACCUCUGAGGCGAGAAAGAGCAAAGGGAGGCUUUUCCACGGGGCGGUGUGCUCAGUGUGCAGGCGUUGGGCAUAGUCCAGAGGCGAGCCACAACCAGGGGGGGCUCUGCGCCCAAAGGGAGCUGCACUGAGAGAGGACCUUGUCUUAUUAGGGACAUGCACAGAGGUGUGGCGACGCCUGGGCUAGCCACACCAGAGGGCGAGGUGGUCCAGGGCGAGCCACACCCAGGGGCCACCCCGAGAAGUUAGUGGCGGCCAUGUUGGGCAGUCUAAACGGUUAGACGUCUCACCUCAGACUUCUGGUAUUUGUGUCCUUCACAAGACAGACUUUGACGAAGGUUUCUGGAUGCUGGAAUGACCUUCCCUCCUGCCCACCGUCUGCCACUUCCGUCCUGGUGGCAGGUCUUCUAGGCCUCUCAGCCCCUAACUCGCCCCACAGGAGGCCGCGGCCUCGGAAACCGUGCUGACGCCGGGGGGUGGGGGGCUGCGCCUGGGCCGCG
rnacentral:lncRNA from 1 species